rnacentral:rRNA from 1 species
GCACAUUGCGCCCGCCAGCAUUCUGGCGGGCAUGCCUGUUCGAGCGUCAUUU